rnacentral:rRNA from 1 species
GAUGAACGCUGGCGGCGUGCCUAAUACAUGCAAGUCGAGCGAACGGACGAGAAGCUUGCUUCUCUGAUGUUAGCGGCGGACGGGUGAGUAACACGUGGAUAACCUACCUAUAAGACUGGGAUAACUUCGGGAAACCGUAGCUAAUACCGGAUAAUAUUUUGAACCGCAUGGUUCAAAAGUGAAAGACGGUCUUGCUGUCACUUAUAGAUGGAUCCGCGCUGCAUUAGCUAGUUGGUAAGGUAACGGCUUACCAAGGCAACGAUGCAUAGCCGACCUGCGAGGGUGAUCGGCCACACUGGAACUGAGACACGGUCCAGACUCCUACGGGAGGCAGCAGUAGGGAAUCUUCUGCAAUGGGCGAAAGCCUGACGGAGCAACGCCGCGUGAGUGAUGAAGGUCUUCGGAUCGUAAAACUCUGUUAUUAGGGAAGAACAUAUGUGUAAGUAACUGUGCACAUCUUGACGGUACCUAAUCAGAAAGCCACGGCUAACUACGUG